CGUUGAAGACUACAACGUUGAUAGGCAAGAUGUGGAAGUGGUGUGAGCCAUUAAGCUAACUUGUACUAAUUACCCGUGAGGCUUAACCAU
rnacentral:rRNA from 3 species